rnacentral:misc_RNA from 1 species
CCAUCCCUCAAGCUUCGCUUGGCUGGUUGGGCCAGCGUCCACCACGGCGGACGGGCCCGAAAGGCAGUGGCGGCUCCGGGGGACUUGGGUCCUCGGGGCGGUGAUGCAUGGGUCUCUUCAUCCACCGUCCCCUGGGUCAUGCCCCGGGAGUCUGUCGAACGAUCGGUCUUCCCCUGUA